rnacentral:sRNA from 1 species
AUUUGCAAAGGGAUCAUAUUCAUCAAUCUGUUGCCCUUUCUCGAUAUCGUGUGUAAAAUUUCUCAUUUAAAUUUUAAAUUCUCUACUCAGUGAUCCACAAACCUACUGGCAGAACACAGUUAGCAUCAUAGAGAGAUAUCGGAUUUUUGAAAUAGCAGCUUUUUCUUCACAAACUAUUAUAAAUGAAAACUUUGCAAAAAAGAGUUACAGAAUACCAGGUUAGGUUGAAAAGAGGGUGUAGA